rnacentral:lncRNA from 1 species
AUUGCACUCCAGCCUGCGCAAGAAGAGCGAAACUCUGUCUCAAAAAAAAAAAAAAAAAAAAAGUGGACAAAAUGUAGUCCUAGGUCCUUGCAUUUGGCACAUUCAAGUUUGAUAAUACCAUUAGUUAUUGAGUAUUGUUGACCAGGCAUCGUGCUCCAUCAUUAAACACAUUAUCUGGUUUAUCUUUACAACAGGCUAAUGAGUUAGGUAUUAUGCCCCUCAUUGCCAAAAUUAGGAAGGAAACUAAGACCCAGAAGGAAUGAUUUUCAAGGCCACACAAUAAAUUGCAGAAUUUGGUUUCCAAGUCAGUCUGAAUUCAAGGUCCAUGUUCCUAACCACAGUGUUUUGCUGCAAACAAACACAGUUCACUGGGAUAAGUGCAGUUAUGGUGGCUUGUACAAAAUGUUCUGUGGUAGUACAGGCAGGGAGUGACAGCUUUAGCCUGCUAAACAGUCAAGACAGGCAUCACAUUCAAGUAACGUUAGAGCUGAGCCUGAAGGAUGGACAGGAUUUUGCAAGUGGAGGUGGGGAGAAGAGUUUUCUGGGCAGAGAGAACUGCGUACAAAGACAGAAGACCCUGAAAGCACAGAGCUUGUAGUUGGGGGCCCCUGAGCAUCUGGAAGAGAGGACAGGAAAUGAGGCAGGAACAGCUGAAGAGCAUCUUCUCCAGAGAUUCUUAGAUUGGCGGUGCUGGACAGCAAGUGACCAGAAGAGAAACAAGUGGUAACCCAACCUGCAUGAAGAAAAUUCAGUAGAACCUUGCUGGUGUAGAGAAGAUGGCACAAAGAAGAGUGAGAACACUUUUAUGAAAGGCUUAGGAAAUGUUGAAGUUUUCCAGUUUUCUUCCUAUGUGAAGGAACAUAGUGAAGGGGGAAAGGCCCCUUUUUUGCACAUACCUGUGGAGGGUAACGCUGUGUGGGUGCAUUUAGCCCUAAUCUCUGCCGUGGAUCAGGAUCGUUGGUUGUGGAGGAGGAAGAAGAGAGGGAAAGGCUUGAAUACUUACAAAAGAUUUUGAGAGCCUAAAUGAUGAAAGCUAGCAGUUCUACAGUGUUUACUAAGUGCAAGAAACUGUUGUAAGAGUUUUGCAUAUAUUAACUCCUUUGAUUCGAUUCUAAUGACCCUAUGAGACUCCCAAAAUUCCAGGAGCCAUGCAGAAGAUUGAAAAGUCCCUUCUUUGAGGAAUCCAACUAACCCAAGAGCAUGGACCUAAAAGUAUUGAAAGCCAAAGAUCCAGUAAUGAGAAGACCAAGCAAGGCUGGGCGCGGUGGCUCAUG